rnacentral:rRNA from 1 species
AUUGAACGCUGGCGGCAGGCCUAACACAUGCAAGUCGAGCGGAUGAAGGGAGCUUGCUCCUGGAUUCAGCGGCGGACGGGUGAGUAAUGCCUAGGAAUCUGCCUUGUAGUGGGGGAUAACGUCCGGAAACGGGCGCUAAUACCGCAUACGUCCUGAGGGAGAAAGUGGGGGAUCUUCGGACCUCACGCUAUCAGAUGAGCCUAGGUCGGAUUAGCUAGUUGGUGGGGUAAAGGCCUACCAAGGCGACGAUCCGUAACUGGUCUGAGAGGAUGAUCAGUCACACUGGAACUGAGACACGGUCCAGACUCCUACGGGAGGCAGCAUUGGGGAAUAUUGGACAAUGGGCGAAAGCCUGAUCCAGCCAUGCCGCGUGUGUGAAGAAGGUCUUCGGAUUGUAAAGCACUUUAAGUUGGGAGGAAGGGCAGUAAGUUAAUACCUUGCUGUUUUGACGUUACCAACAGAAUAAGCACCGGCUAACUUCGUG